UCCUGUCUCUCUGUGUGUCUGUUAGCGCUGGUUCCUGUUAGUGUUGGAGUGUUUGAGCACUGGAGUUUGCUGCUGCUGCCUAUCUUUUACAGGGGCGAGGGCUAGAGCACUUGGGCGUGGACCAGAUGAUUGGUUUGUUCUUGCUGACACAGUCAGUACAGUGAUGACAGACAUAUGAGAUUGGGAUCAAAACAGUAUGUACAGUACAUAGAGCUGUUGUUUAGCUAGUUCAUCUCUGUCACAGAUAUAUCUAUCUGGACUACUGAUGUGGAGUGAGGAUAUGGACUAUGACUGCACAAUACAAUUAUUAAUACCCUUACGACACCAAAUAAAAAUGGACACUGGAUUUCCCAGUGCUGUCCGCCUCCUUCCGGUCUGGAUCCUGCCUUCACACCUAGUUUGGGUGUCCACUCUGUUCCUCUUGGGGCACUGUAUCUCAGUGUGACAGUCCAUACCUCCCUCCUGAGGGAAGCAGCAGUGGCAUGGGAGGGUGUGCUGCCGUGCGGCCGCUGGGACUGUUAGUGUGCGUUUAAGCGCCAGCGGGGAUGCUCCAUGAACUGAAGGAGCAGGUGUCCACCAGGAUGAUGACCCUGUGGCACAGCCUGUCCCAGCUGGGCAAUAGCAUCCAGGAGGUCACAGGAGGAAUGCGGGUGGCAUUCACAGCCACCAUGAGUCCCAAAAGCCACUGCUUCGGCCCCUUCACCAGUAACGUGCCGAUUCCCUACACCGAGAUCUCCCUCAACCACGGAAACUGCUAAAACCCUGCCCUGGAGGCUGAACCACAAGCUGCGGCUGAUGAGGAACGGGGAGAUGGUGGUGUCCACGUGGGAGGAUAACGGGGAGGACUCGGAAGACAGACCGCCCUGGUCCUGCUGGACAGAGGCUGCCAGACGUACGUGGAGCUGCUCUCUGGAAGACAGCUGUGUGGAGGCGGAAACCCAUAGACAGACAUAUUGUACAUCCAAUGAGACAUACAACUGUACUGAACAGUUAAAAGCACAUGAAAAUUGUAGUCAACUCUGAUCAUUCUCCUUAAAAAAGCAAUCUAUGUAUUUUUUUUAAAUAAAAAAGGU